UUGUAACUGCGUGAUGUUUUUGGGAAUGUUUUACUGUCCCCUUUAUAGCAAAUGUUACAGCAUGCACAUAUGACAUCAAGUUCCUCUUGUGAGUACUUGAUUUUUAGCGACAUGAACAAGACACAGAUGGACAUGAGAACCCAGCUGUUGACUCUGUCUCUCAGUGCCCUUUUUCUUAUAUCUGUGACCUGAUCACGUAGUACAAAGUGUUUCCUGCUGAACUACAUGCAGCUGCCUGGCUGAAAAGCAUGUGAGAGCUUUAUUUGUCCUGCCUGCAGUCCCAGAUCUUCUUGGAACAGGCUCCCAGAUCCCUCCUGUUGUGGAGGUGGGUGAUAUCACCAGAUAGCCUUCCCAAGGAUCCUGUCCUCUCUGGAAUCCACUGCCAGGGAUCUGCAGGGCAUUACAGCCUGCAUUUCAGCGUGCUGCUCUAAAUAAACUGCCUGAGCUAAGGUCUCGGAUCCCUGGGGCUUCAGAGCAGUGCCACCCCUUUUUGUCAAGGUGAAUAAAUGUUAGUGACACACAGGGAACAUAAACUGAGGCUUGACUUAUUUAUGUCAUUUUUUAAAUGUAUUUCUUUUAACAGAUUUACCCAUCUCCAUGCACCCAGCCUCCUUGGAAUCUGUUACAUUGUCAUGAAAAUUGCUCAGGCCCGUGUUCUCAUUUUUGGCUGAUAUGAAAGACCUGAAGAUCUGUCUUGAUCCAGAUGCUUCUUGAGUCAGCUGCACCGCAGCCCACCCACAGCAAGACCAUCUCUGAGCACAGCAGAAAGUUGCAUCAGCACUGGUCCAGGCCCCAGCACAUGCACAAGAUCUGAAGACUUUACCAAGCUCCCAGCUCCACACUACCUGCCAAGGAGGUGACAGGCAUCACGCACCAGCUGUGAUGGACAUUGUGGGACUGAGUCCCUAUGUGUUUUGUCUGGAGUCAGUUUGAUUCCAAAAAAAUGCCCUCAGAAACAGUAUUUCAAACCCCGGGGAGACUCUUUGUUUUAUUGUUUUAGGAAUGCAUUUUGUAAAUCACUCGGUGGUGGCAAGUUUAUGUAUUUGGAUAGCAAAUUUAUGUUGCACUAUUAGUUUCAAGGAAAUCCGAUCGAGUAUGUGGAUUUUGGACUUUUGACCUUUACACAGAAUGAGCUUUUUGAAGAAGUGUGAAGUAACUUGUUCAUCUCCACGUAGUGUACUCUGCUGAAUGAAAAUGCUCUCUGAAGAGACACAGAGAGGAUGUAAGGGGUGGUGAACACUUCAUCUCAGUCAAUGGUUUCUCCCUUCCCAGCCUGUUGCCAGUGGUUGGGACACUGUGCUAAGCACUGACCUGGUGCAUUUUCAGUUCUGCACUUUGUGUUUUGCAGACACUACCAGGAAGGUGGAAAGGGUUGCCCUACUGCUGGCUCUCAUGGGGAAUAAGGGAGUGACCAUCCCCCACUACAUGGGACUCAGGAUAAUGGUUGCCCAGGUCUUGCUGAAGACAGGAAAGAUGCAUGGAGGAAAGGUAGGCUUUACAUUUUUUGCCUCCCAGCUCAGUAGGUCUGGGAGCAUGGCUGUGCAUUUCCAAGUCCUGUUCCUUGUGUCCUUCCCUGCCAUCCUUCUGCCCUUUCCCCAGACAUCCCUUGCCUCCCUGGUCAGCCCCACACUUCUCCAGUACAUGUGCUAUUUAUUUAGCUUCACUGCCAUCUGAGCUUUCUGCUCUGCUGGUUUGAUUUCUCUCAAACUAUGAAGUCCUUUGACAGAGGCAGACCAUGACAAUGUGUCUCACUCCUCUUCCCUUUUUUUUCCCUGUUUUCUGCCAACGGCCAGGUUUGAACUGACAUUGGCUGGUUGUAGGUCAGGUUCAAAGGCAUCAAGCACUGUUUGAACAUCCCCUUGGGCGAUACGCUCAUAUGAAAAUGAGUAGUCUAGAAAACCUCUGUGACUUCACAGAGUAAUCCACUUUAUGGGUGAGCUCCUAGGGUUGACAGACUUCUCAUUUAAUAUGGGG